UACGUAGGGUGCGAGCGUUGUCCGGAAUUAUUGGGCGUAAAGAGCUUGUAGGUGGCUCGUCGCGUCGGGAGUGAAAACCCGCGGCUUAACCGCGGGCCUACUUUCGAUACGGGCGGGCUAGAGUUCGGCAGGGGAGACUGGAAUUCCUGGUGUAGCGGUGGAAUGCGCAGAUAUCAGGAGGAACACCGGUGGCGAAGGCGGGUCUCUGGGCCGAUACUGACACUGAGAAGCGAAAGCGUGGGGAGCGAACAGG
rnacentral:rRNA from 1 species